rnacentral:rRNA from 1 species
CAGCCCUAAACGAUGCGCGUUAGGUGUAUCGGUGACCACGAGUCACCGAGGUGCCGAAGGGAAACCGUGAAACGUGCCGCCUGGGAAGUACGGUCGCAAGGCUGAAACUUAAAGGAAUUGGCGGGGGAGCACCACAACGGGUGGAGCUUGCGGUUUAAUUGGAUUCAACGCCGGAAAUCUUACCGGGACCGACAGCAACAUGAAGGCCAGGCUGAAGACUUUGCCGGAUUAGCUGAGAGGAGGUGCAUGGCGGUGACUGU